rnacentral:tRNA from 1 species
AAGAGAGGUCUGGGACACAAAGAACUGCUAAUUCUUUUAAUCAUGGUUCAAAUCCAUGGCUCACUUG